rnacentral:tRNA from 1 species
GCCUCGGUAGCGUAGUGGUCAAGACGCUCGCCUGGUAAACAGGAGGGCGUGGGUUCGAUCCCAGCCGAGGUU